rnacentral:rRNA from 1 species
UACGUAGGGACCGAGCGUUGUCCGGAUUCAUUGGGCGUAAAGAGCUCGUAGGCGGCUAUUCAAGUCGAACGUGAAAUCUCGGAGCUUAACUCCGAAACUGCAUUCGAUACUGCGGUGCUUGAGGACUGGAGAGGAGACUGGAAUUCAUGGUGUAGCAGUGAAAUGCGUAGAGAUCAUGAGGAAGACCAGUGGCGAAGGCGGGUCUCUGGACAGUUCCUGACACUGAGGCACGAAGGCCAGGGGAGCAAACGGG